rnacentral:rRNA from 1 species
AACCUCAAGACACUAACGCUGGCGGCAUGCCCAAUAGUGAACGUCGAACGAGUAUCUCGGAUCUAGUGGCGCACGGGUGCGACGUGGGAAUCUGCCCAGAGGUUCGGAAUAACUUCUGGAAACGGAAGCUAAUACCGGAUGAUGACGUAGGUCCAAAGAUUUAUCGCCCAAGGAUGAGCCCGCGUAGGAUCAGGUAGUAGGUGAGGUAAAGGCUCACCAAGCCGACGAUCCUUAGCUGGUCUGAGAGGAUGAUCAGCCACACUGGGACUGAGACACGGCCCAGACUCCAUACGGGAGGCAGCAGUAGGGAAUAUUGGACAAUGGGCGAAAGCCUGAUCCAGCAAUGACGGGUGAGUGAUGAAGGCCUUAGGGUUGUAAAGCUCUUUUACCCGGGAUGAUAAUGACAGUACCGGGAGAAUAAGCUCCGGCUAACUCCGUGACAGCAGACGAGGUAAUACGGAGGGAGUAAACGUAGAGCGGAAUUACUGGGCGUCAAGCGCACGUAGGCGGGUAUCCAAGAUAGCAGUGAAAGCCCGGGAUCAACCCGGAACUGCCUUGGCACUAAAUGGUUGGAUCAGGAGAAGUGAGUGAAAUUCCAGAGUACAGGUGAAAUCGAGAUUCCGGAAGAACACAUUGAG